CUUUAUCAUGAUCAGCAUCUUUUAAUGCAAUAACAUUGUGCUGGUCAAUUUAGGGGGCAGUGCCACCCCAAGGUCACCACGUGAACAUGUUUACUUAAGUCUGGUGUUUGUGCGUCACUGUCUGAACAGGCUUAUAAAGAAGAACUCUCAAAGGCGCUCAAAGGCACUCAAUUUUUCUCCUCUGAGACGAAAAAAACAGUAACAAACAGCCAAGAUGAGACUGUACCUCGCGGUUGCCGUGCUGCUGCUGGCUUUGGUCGCAUUUGCAGAGGCUCAGGAUGAUAACGUGGGAAAGAAAGCGUCUGAGAAAUUGAACGAGUUUGCUGGCAGGGCCAGGGACUGGGGCAGUGACCUGUUUGAGAAAGUGAAGGCCGGGUGGGGACAACUUACGAAUUAGACGAGGAGACUUGCCCCUGUCACCAGCCUGAACCUGCCCUCACCUCUGACAUCUGACUUCUUCACCAUUCAUGGUGGGAGGCUGAUAUGUCAACAGGACACAUUGUUCUGCAGAUUGACUUGUCCAAAUGGUUACAUUGUCUCUCUGUAAGGAUUUUUUUGUUGUUGUUGAGUGUACUGUUAAUUUGUGUAAACUGUGAAAAAAGUGCAAUAAAGACAUAAAAAGUAUUUUUAAUUACAAAUUCUUUGUCAUCGUCUCUAUUAAUGAAUAAGAACAAUGUCUGUACUCGAUUACAGCAUUUUGAAAGUCUGUUAAAUAUGUUUGACAUAAAUAAAUGAAAUUUAGUUCUCUUUGACCAUACAGCCUCCAUAUGUUACACAAAGCAC
ensembl:lncRNA